UACGAAGGGGGCUAGCGUUGCUCGGAAUUACUGGGCGUAAAGGGCGCGUAGGCGGAUCGUUAAGUCAGAGGUGAAAGCCCAGGGCUCAACCCUGGAAUUGCCUUUGAUACUGGCGAUCUUGAGUACGGGAGAGGUGUGUGGAACUCCGAGUGUAGAGGUGAAAUUCGUAGAUAUUCGGAAGAACACCAGUGGCGAAGGCGGCUGACUGGUCCGGUUCUGACGCUGAGGCGCGAAAGCGUGGGGAGCAAACAGG
rnacentral:rRNA from 1 species